AGUUUCAACAACGGAUCUCUUGGCUCUCGCAUCGAUGAAGAACGCAGCGAAAUGCGAUAAGUAAUGUGAAUUGCAGAAUUCAGUGAAUCAUCGAAUCUUUGAACGCACCUUGCGCUCCUUGGUAUUCCUUGGAGCAUGCCUGUUUGAGUAUC
rnacentral:rRNA from 4 species